rnacentral:rRNA from 1 species
UACGUAAGGGGCUAGCGUUGUCCGGAAUCAUUGGGCGUAAAGCGCGUGUAGGCGGCCCGGUAAGUCCGCUGUGAAAGUCGGGGGCUCAACCCUCGAAUGCCGGUGGAUACUGUCGGGCUAGAGUGCGGAAGAGGCGAGUGGAAUUCCUGGUGUAGCGGUGAAAUGCGCAGAGUAUCAGGAGGAACACCAAUUGCGAAGGCAGCUCGCUGGGACGUAACUGACGCUGAGACGCGAAAGCGUGGGGAGCAAACAGG